rnacentral:lncRNA from 1 species
CACGGUUGCUAAAAGAUGUAGGAAAAAAAUUAUGUGGCAGGUAAAUGGCAAUUAACUCUAAACUGUUUAUGCAUGCACUUUUAGGAAAUUCUCCACACCGCCCAUGCAUUCUUCACAGUACACUGGCUUCCAAACCUUCUUGGGGAUUGAAAAAUAGUGUCCACAAUUUCAAAGGAAAUUUAUACUGCUGCAAAAUAAAGAGGAAAG